ACAUAUAAAUCUUCAUGCUAGCUGAUUUUUUAAACUAUGAUCAAUAUCUAUAAACAAUAACCUUUCAAAUGCAUGCCAUGUUUUUUAUUUAUUUUUUAUUUUUUUACUUUUGCUAGCUAGAUGCAAAUUAGCAUUAAGCAGUCAACCAUGUUACUGUCAGCACUGUUACUAUCAAUCCUGUUACUUGUUGAGAGUGGAAUGUUUGUUGGAGUAUUUUUGCGAUUAUUAGCCAGUAUUAAUUGUUAAAAUGAUUAUGUUUGUUUUAUAUACGUGUAAAGGUUAGUGAAAAGUAGAAUGCCAUUAAGUGCAGCAGAGAAACAAAGGCGAUAUCCAGCCCGUCGAAACGCGGAUCCCAAGAGAAGGACGAAGUAUCUGGAGACAGAUAGGAAAAAAUGGAAGAGAGACAGGAAGAUUAGGAAAAUAAAAACUACAAAUAUGCUCAGUGAGAGAGAGCAGAGGUCAAAGAGAAGAAAGUGGAGACAAAGUGUAGGGUUAUGAAAAUGGCAGCAUCAGUUGCACUGAACAGUCUGACAACUCUCAGCUUUAUUUGUGUAAAAUUAGUAAUCUACUAAUAAUGGGAGGGAUAGAGUAUAUAUGGAGUAUGCAAUAAUAGCUACUGUAAAAGAGUGAAAUAUAUAUAGUAUAUUAUUUUAUAGUCAGAGGUAAACAUUGUCAGUCAUUUGGUAUUUUUGGUUUGAAUUUCAGGCAAUGUGAAGCAGGGCAAAAACGUUCAAAAAUGCAUAGAAAAGUGUUGAAUGAGGCACUAUGGAAUCUGGAAAGAAAACUGCAAAAGGAAGGUGUAACAACUUCACAGCAGAAGGGAAGGAGAACACCGGGAAGCGGGUUUUCCAGGCUCAGGUGGGCAUGGAGGAGAAGGGCUGGGGUAGUGAAAAAAGGCAGACAAGAUUCUCUAAUGUACGUUGUGAAACCAAGAGUGAUGGAGACGGAGACACAGACACAUUGAACUGGGGCAGUCCAGCUCUAUAAGGGAGUGCUCCAACACUUCCAGUCACUAUCACGCCAUGGAAGUGAUUCAAUUGCCGUUGGGUUCAUCUCCUGGCUGUUACUACUCAAGACAUGCUCAGAGAAUAUUUUGAAGUGUUUUUUGUUGUACAUACAAUAACAUGCCCCUGAACAGUC